UACGUAGGCAGCGAGCGUUGUUCGGAGUUACUGGGCGUAAAGAGUGCGUAGGCGGUUUUCUAAGUUUGGUGUGAAAUCUCCCGGCUUAACUGGGAGGGUGCGCCGAAGACUGGAGGGCUUGAGUAUGGGAGAGGUAAGCGGAAUUCCUGGUGUAGCGGUGAAAUGCGUAGAUAUCAGGAGGAACACCUGCGGUGUAGACGGCUUACUGGACCAUAACUGACGCUGAGGCACGAAAGCGUGGGUAGCAAACAGG
rnacentral:rRNA from 1 species